rnacentral:rRNA from 1 species
AACUUUCAACAACGGAUCUCUUGGCUCUCGCAUCGAUGAAGAACGCAGCGAAAUGCGAUACGUAAUGUGAAUUGCAGAAUUCAGUGAAUCAUCGAAUCUUUGAACGCACAUUGCACUCUCUGGUAUUCCGGAGAGUAUGCUUGUUUGAGUAUCU